UACGUAGGGUGCGAGCGUUGUCCGGAAUUACUGGGCGUAAAGAGCUCGUAGGUGGUUUGUCGCGUUGUCCGUGAAAACUCACAGCUUAACUGUGGGCGUGCGGGCGAUACGGGCAGACUGGAGUACUGCAGGGGAGACUGGAAUUCCUGGUGUAGCGGUGGAAUGCGCAGAUAUCAGGAGGAACACCGGUGGCGAAGGCGGGUCUCUGGGCAGAAACUGACGCUGAGGCGCGAAAGCUAGGGGAGCAAACAGG
rnacentral:rRNA from 1 species